rnacentral:lncRNA from 1 species
CACAGCUCCGAUCUUUAUCAUUCCUCAUUGCGUAUUCCGUUCACGUAUUGUAUCGAAAUACGCGCUAUAUUAAUAUAGCUAAAAGGGCAACGUGCGCGCGAUUUUUUGCCGCGACCUUGCUCUUCAUUGUUCGCGCGCUACAUCUUGUCGAGCAUGAUUCCUAUGCUGAUACGUGCAAGGGCGACGAUAAUUUUCGUUUCCCAUGGCGAUGCGCCGCAUAUAAUAGCCACACAUUACGUUUGUCCAUUGAUAAGAUAUCCGAAUUAAUUGGAUUAAUUGUUCGAUAUUAGAUUCAAGUCCCCAAAUAUCCGGAUUUUUAUAUAUAAUUCAGAUAAUUAAGAUAUGAUAUAAAUAUAAUUAUAUUUAUACAAUAUUAUAUUUAUAUAAAUAAUAAUUGAAAUCUCAAUUAUGCAUCAUAGAAAAUUGUGCAGAAACAGUUCCAUUUUCUUUUAUCUAUUUAUUUCGUAAUAAAAAUUUUAAGUAGAUUUUUCAUUAGUGUCCAUUUGCGAGAAAGAUGUCUCGUUGCAUAAAAGACUUCAUAAAAAAACAUUUUAUAUAAUAGAUGUUUCAAAUAUUUGAAUUUAAAAAACAUUUGAAUUUAAAAAACGCUACAAUUUUAGUGCUCUAUGAUAUAAUAAAAGGAACUGUGCUUUGUAUACAUUUUGAUGUAACACAAAUUUACGCAGAAAGCAUCAGUUUUCGUUUAUCUAAUUGCGGUAGCAAUAAUGUUCUAAAUGUUGCUAGUGAUGCAGAAUAUGCCAAGGCCUGGCUAUUUAUUACGAAUAAUCGGCAGUUUCCAUUACGAUUACGUCCUCAAUUGAGCAUUGAAAGUUCGAUAGGCCAUUGAAUUAUAACGUGUGUUUUGUUAGUCGACGAACUUUCACGUCGAUAACCCGAUCUGCUAUCGCUAAAAUAAACUCAUAGAUCUAUGUCGAGCGAAUUAGGAAAACAACAGCGUACAAUGAAGAACAUGACUUAUGGUUCGUCCCGGUUUUAAAAUAAAAAUGUACUUUACACGAUGUCUUUUUGCCAACAUGUUUCUUUAAUUGGUUUGCUACGAAAUGCCCCUGUAUAUCCCGUUGAAAAUGUAUGCUACAUAAACAGCUGAACAAAAAUUAUUUAAGUUAUUCUAGUACCUGAAAAUACGUAAUGCUUUUUUAUUAUAAUAUCAGCAUACUUAUUUCUGAUAAAUAUGCGCACGAAAUAUGUUACAGAAUAUUUUAUUUAUAUUCAUUAAAUCUUGUAUGUGAUUUUAAAUAAGACACGUUAGAUGAACGACAUAAAUAUUUAUUAAUACAUUUACGUUGACGCAUUCAUUAUUAACGUUUUGCUAAAUUCAAAAUGCGUUUUGCGAAAUACAAAGUACGUUCUUAUUAUAUCUUUCUUGUUAAAAAUACAUGUCAGAACACAUGUUUGUCUUAAAUGCAAAUCAUGAAAGCUUUUAUUAAUGAUGAAAUGGAAAAUGAUUUCAAAAGAUAAGAUUAGAAUUGUAAAGAAGGUGACGCUAAUAUUCUUAUGCUUUAAUGACAAUAACUCUUUUAUGCUAUAUUAUACAAGCAAGAUAUAAUAAGAACGUUGUACUUUGUAUUUCAAUGCAAAAAACGCAUUUUGCAUUGAGCCAAAAGUUAAUAAUGAAUGCGUCAACGUAAAUGUAUUAAUAAAUAUUUAUGUCGUUCAUCUAACGUGUCUUAUUUAAAAUCACAUACAAGAUUUAAUGAAUAUAAAUAAAAUAUUCUGUAACAUAUUUCGUGCGCAUAUUUAUCAGAAAUAAGUAUGCUGAUAUUAUAAUAAAAAAGCAUUACGUAUUUUCAGGUACUAGAAUAUGCUUUAAUAUUAUGCUCACAUUUCUAUAGUCGAACGAACUAAAAACUGAAGGAAAUGAUAAUCGAUAAAUCGCUUGUCAAUUGAGAAUUUUUCAAAGAAGCUUCCAUAUCGAUGGAUCAAGUGCAUAGGAAUGAGGAUUAUUACUUAUAUAUAAAUAAUAUAUUCGAAAUAUAAUUUAAAUUUUUUAAAUUUCUUUAAAGAAAAUAAUUUUUUAGAUUUGUAUCUUUGUUAUAAUAGAUUUUAUGAUAAAUAUGUUAUAAAUAAGUGUGUCAUUGACUCGUGUAUAAGAUAAUGUUAAAUAUUUGUCUUCACAAUUAUAGAAAUAAAAUAUUAAUGUUUGCCAAAUUAAGUUAUUAAUAUUUAUUAAUACUAGGAUUCUAUCAUGUUACUGUCGUCGCUGUUUGUUUCAGAGAAUUACAGAAAUAUAAUUGGCAUGAUAAGUUUUACAGUUAUAGCUGCAGCUAAUUCGCGGAAUAAACUUUGUAAUUACGUACAACUAUAGAGCAAAGAUUAUAAAUUAUCAGUUCAGCUGAGAUGACUUGGCAAAAUCUUCAAAGGAUGCAGCAUAAAAGGGGAUGUGAAUUCUGCGUCCCCUCGCUCGUGCGCUUUUAUCUUCUCAUCCGGCGUUCAAGAGCCGUUAAUGUUCCAUUUCAGAUUCCGAUGACGGCCUCUGUUUUUCUUGAGUUAUGCGCGAAGAUCGACAGCGCGCUUGUUCUCUUCCGCUCUUCGUUUCCUCCGUUCUUCGUUUCGCAAUUAAAUUUUCCUUGCUCGCGCUGCAUACGCGAUAAGCUUAUCAGCGUGGACUUUGGCAAUUAUUGUCAGCUGGAUUCAAACUCUUGCUUCUCUUCCUUCUCUUGUUCUUAAUGAUUGUAAACAAGAAGUUCUCGAAUGUAUCAUCGAGGCACGUCAUUCGUUAUCAGCCAUCCGGAGAGCAACACCAUUACUACAUAACUGUCAUCUUUGUUUCAAUGUUUCGGUACCGCAAACGAUAACAGGGAUCUGCCUCUUCAAUGCCUUAUAGUUCGGAUAGAAGGAUUGCAAAAUGAAUGAGGGCAUCGAUACCGUCUCUAUAAAAUGGCAAUCUCUAGUUCGCGGUGCGGAAGAGAGCCGCACACGAAACCAGAUAGCUUUUGCGGAGGCAAUUCUAAAUGUGACACCAUAAACACGCGCGUCUAUGUGUGCAGACAUGCAUAAAUCAGAGCUUAGAUUUUACGCAAUAGUGUUUACAUCGAAUUCAAGAUAAUAAAUACUUUUUCUCACAUCAAGUAAUAUUCAAUCCCGCUUUAAGUAUACCAAUAUGUGAUAUUUCAUUCGUACAUUAUGCGAUUGCGAAUUCCAUAUGCAUCUAAUCAGUUUUCAUCAUUUUUUUUAUAUAAAGGUUCUCCUUCGUUUUUAAAUCAACUGCUUUUGUGAUGAUAAAUAUAUGUAACCUACGUAAUAUAUGUAACUUGGCAGAGUAUGCAAAACUAGUUUAGAAGACUAUUGCAAGGGGAAAAAAUAUAAAAAAACGAAAAA